UGAUUCCCUAUGGAAUGUAUAUAUUAGCUUAUUGAUUCACUUUUGAUAUUAUAUAUAUAUAUGUAAGCACCCAUUUAAUUUCUUAAAAAAAAAAAAGGAAAGAAAGAAGAUAAGUAUGACUUUAAUAAUAAUAAUAAUAAUAAAUAUAUGUGUAUGGUGGUGGAGUUAUAAAAAAAAAAUAAGUAAAUUUUUUUUUAAAAAAAAAAAAAGAGAAUUUGCUUUCUUUCUUCUUUCUUAAAUUCUCUCUUCUUUCUUAAAUUCUUUCUUUCCCUUAUCCCCUCACUGAAGUCUCUCUUUGAGCCACUCAUCUUCACCGUUAAUUACCACGAAUAUGUCGUUGACCUUUCACUGUUGCUUUUAGUGACUGCCAUCAUUUUUUUUAGUUGGAUUUCGAGUUUUAGAGUCCGAGUUGGUCAAGCGGAAAUCGGGGUGAUCUACAACCCGAACAUAUCUCACUAGUAGCAUUAUACGACAGAGUUCCAAGACUGCCUACUUGAGUUCAUAUCCGCCACCCACUUGCCUAGUCGUACUACAUAAUAUUUUGUAUGUAUAGUGUUUGGAUUAUGCAUUGUAAAAUUAGUAUUUUGGGAUGGAAAUUUUGUGUUAAAUAGACUUAAAAUAGUGGUUGGCAUGAGACUAAUUGAAUAACGUUGUGCCUGGUAGGUAGCUUUGAGUAAACAAUUUUGGGUGUAUGUAAAUAUUGAAAUAUUCGGACUGGGCUGAGCUAGCGUACAUGUUUU